UACGGAGGGUGCAAGCGUUAUCCGGAUUCACUGGGUUUAAAGGGUGCGUAGGCGGGCAGGUAAGUCAGUGGUGAAAUCUCCGGGCUUAACCCGGAAACUGCCGUUGAUACUAUCUGUCUUGAAUAUCGUGGAGGUAAGCGGAAUAUGUCAUGUAGCGGUGAAAUGCUUAGAUAUGACAUAGAACACCAAUUGCGAAGGCAGCUCACUACGGGUAUAUUGACACUGAGGCACGAAAGCGUGGGGAUCAAACAGG
rnacentral:rRNA from 1 species